rnacentral:rRNA from 1 species
AUAUCAAUAAGCGGAGGAAAAGAAACUAACAAGGAUUCCCCUAGUAGCGGCGAGUGAAGCGGGAAGAGCUCAAAUUUGUAAUCUGGCGUCUUUCAGGCGUCCGAGUUGUAAUCUAUAGAAGUGUUUUCCGUGCUGGACCAUGUCCAAGUCCCUUGGAACAGGGUAUCAAAGAGGGUGACAAUCCCGUACUUGACAUGACCACCAGUGCUCUGUGAUACACUCUCUACGAGUCGAGUUGUUUGGGAAUGCAGCUCAAAAUGGGUGGUAAAUUCCAUCUAAAGCUAAAUAUUGGCGAGAGACCGAUAGCGAACAAGUACCGUGAGGGAAAGAUGAAAAGCACUUUGGAAAGAGAGUUAAACAGUACGUGAAAUUGUUGAAAGGGAAACGAUUGAAGUCAGUCGUGUUCAUUGGACUCAGCCGGUUUUCGGUGUAUUUCCUUUGAACGGGUCAACAUCAGUUUUGUCCGGUGGAUAAAGGCAGGAAGAAAGUGGCUCCCUCGGGAGUGUUAUAGCUUUCUGUCACAUACACUGGAGGAGACUGAGGACUGCAGCUCGCCUUUUGGCCGGGGUUCGCCCACGUUCGAGCUUAGGAUGUUGACAUAA